AUGAGGAACAGGGAGACUUCUCUCCCUUACCCAGAGCAGGGCCCCAAAGUCACUUUUGAGUUUCCUGCAGAGCAGAGCGUCAUAGCGGGGAGCUCACCCUUGCUCGAGCUACCUGUGCCUCCUGCUAAAACCCUAGGUCAGUCAAUCAGGGCCUCAAGGCCGAGCGCUAGUUGGCCCCUACAGACAACUGCACAGGGAACCAUCGAUUCGUCAGUGGUCGAUGUCAUCCCUCCAAGAGGCCAAAGGUUGACGCAAGGUACACGGUGGGAGUCCACUCCACAACAGCAAACUCCUCAAUUGUUCCCUUCGACGCCGGAGUCCCAGCUUGUCUCCAUCAUCAGAAGCCCCAGAAGAGAUCUUAAGGACAAGGGUGUCGAAAAGUUUUCGGACAAGCCUGAGGAAUUUCUUCUCUGGAAGGCCACCUUCCAGAGAGCAAUCAGAGACUUAAAGUUAUUGCCUGAGGAAGAACUGACUCUUCUGGCUGCAUGGUUGGGCCCAGCCUCAUCCUCACAAGUUAAGAAGAUCUACGCAGCCCACGUAGCCGAUCCCGACAAAGCCCUGGAAAAGGCCUGGGCCAGGUUGCAGCAGAGGUAUGGGGCCAGCACAGAGAUUGAAGCAUCUCUUAUGGACAAGCUCCAAAGGUUCCCAGCUUUAAAACUCAAAGACUUCAAACUCUUGUGGGACCUUAGCGAUCUCCUUAUGGAAUUAGAGUCGGCCAAGGAGAAUCCAGAACUGCCCGGUUUGAAGUGCCUCGAUCAGCACCUGUCCCAGAGGCAGAUCUUGACCAAGCUGCCCUUCACUUUGCAAGAACGCUGGGGACAGGAGGUCUUCAACUACAAGGAGGCCCACUCCCAGGCAUACCCUCCAUUUUCUCAUUUGGUCCAGUUCAUCACCAGGGCAGCCAGAGAAAGGAAUGAUCCGCAGACGGGCCUCCCCACCUUAUACCAAGGGACCCAUCCAGGGAAGGCAUCUGAAGUGGACAAGAAACCACCUAGAGAGGCCAAUAGACCUGUCAGCGUAAAGGCAGUCGAAACUCAACACAAGACUGAUGAACCCAGGUCGGAGGUAAAAGAGUUGCUUUGCCCUAUCCACCAAAAGCCUCACAGCUUGGCCAACUGCAGGGAGUUUAGUAGAAAGUCAUACAAAGAGAGGCAACAGCUAGUUCAAAAGCAGGGAAUCUGCUUUAGAUGCUGUGGAGCAACUCCACACUUUGCGUCCAACUGCAAAGAAAACGUCAAGUGUGAGAAAUGCAACAGCCUCAAGCAUUGCACCGCAAUGCACAACUCCAGUGUCAUCUCCCACCCCAAAGGGAACGUUUCACCAAAAGAAAAGUCAGCAGUCGAAGACACCGACAAGCCAGUUGUACCAGAGAUGCAGGUGGAGGUUUCAGCAGUCGCCUGUACAGAGCUGUGUUCUGACUCGCACCAGUACAGAGUUUGUCAUCCUAUCUGCCUAGCGGAUGUAUAUCCAGCCAAGAGCCCUUGGCUUAGAAAGAGACUCUAUGUGGCCCUGGAUUCACAGAGCGAUGCCUCCCUAGCUACUCCAGAGUUCUUCCGCAUGUUUGACCUUAAAAGCAAGAUGGUCGAUUACACCAUGACUACAUGUGCAGGAAAAAAGAAGUUGCAGGGUCGCAUAGCAUCUGGCUUUGUUGUCUCCUCUUGCGACCAGAAGAGACAGUUCAAGUUGCCAGACCUGGUUGAGUGUUCCUCCAUCCCUCGGAACAAAAAACAAAUUGUAACUAGAGAAGUUGUGGAGGCUCAUCCACAUUUGCGACGGUUAAAGAAUGCUAUACCAGCCUUUCGGCCAGAUGUGGACAUUGCCCUUUUGCUUGGCUUGGACUGCCCGAGCUUGUUCUGUGUGAACGACCAAGUUAAAGGACCUCCAGGUGCAACUAUCGCACAACAAUUGCCAUUAGGCUGGACAGUCAUAGGCCCAGUGUGCAUAAACAAGAUGCACCCACCAUCGUCGUUGGACUCCAAUCAAGCACAGGUGCUUAAAGGUGGACGUCCUACACUUGUGCGCAGUUGCCUAAGUCAUAUCUCGGUCUACUGCCAAGCAAUAACUCCAGAGUAUUCCUCCAUCUUCAAAGUCUCUGAGAGAGACGAAGCCACAGCGCUCUCGAAAGAUAAGCAAAGGUUUUCGGACAUUAUGAAUGCUCAAGUCUCACGAAGUGCAGAGGUGAAAGCCUGCAAAUCAACCACAGAAAUCAAGAUGGGCCAAAGAUCUUGCCUGGAACCACACCGUUUUGAACGUUUUUCGGAGUGGCACAGUCUUCUUAGAGCAGUUGCUAGGCUUAUACAUCGCUUAGUCUGCAAAGAUAGUCAGCCUUUGCAAGUUCAGGACAUGUUGAAGGCUAAGGGAGUAAUAUUCAGGUCAGUUCAGAGGCAUGAGUUUAGUCUAGAAAUAGCCAGGUUAGAACAAGGGCUUGACACCCCCAGUCGGAGUUCUUGCGUGAGUUAA
ensembl:lncRNA